rnacentral:rRNA from 2 species
UCCCUCUCGGGGGGGGGGGGUCAGUGGGAAUCUUCCACAAUGGGCGCAAGCCUGAUGGAGCAACACCGCGUGAGUGAAGAAGGGUUUCGGCUCGUAAAGCUCUGUUGUUGGAGAAGAACGUGCGUGAGAGUAACUGUUCACGCAGUGACGGUAUCCAACCAGAAAGUCACGGCUAACUACGUGCCAGCAGCCGCGGUAAUACGUAGGUGGCAAGCGUUAUCCGGAUUUAUUGGGCGUAAAGCGAGCGCAGGCGGUUGCUUAGGUCUGAUGUGAAAGCCUUCGGCUUAACCGAAGAAGUGCAUCGGAAACCGGGCGACUUGAGUGCAGAAGAGGACAGUGGAACUCCAUGUGUAGCGGUGGAAUGCGUAGAUAUAUGGAAGAACACCAGUGGCGAAGGCGGCUGUCUGGUCUGCAACUGACGCUGAGGCUCGAAAGCAUGGGUAGCGAACAGGAUUAGAUACCCUGGUAGUCCAUGCCGUAAACGAUGAGUGCUAGGUGUUGGAGGGUUUCCGCCCUUCAGUGCCGGAGCUAACGCAUUAAGCACUCCGCCUGGGAGAGACCGA